UAAUACGUGUUUUAUGGCACUUUUUAAAUCCAUAUCCACCUUGUGUGCAAUGUCAGUCGAUCUUCUUCAUGGAGAUCGACCAAACAUCAACCUUUAUUUUUUUACUCUUUGUCUGAAAAAUAUUAUGAAUAAACAAUUCAAAAUA
rnacentral:misc_RNA from 1 species